rnacentral:rRNA from 1 species
AGAGUUUGAUCCUGGCUCAGGACGAACGCUGGCGGCGUGCCUAAUACAUGCAAGUCGAGCGAAUGGAUGGGAGCUUGCUCCCUGAAGUUAGCGGCGGACGGGUGAGUAACACGUGGGCAACCUGCCUGUAAGACUGGGAUAACUUCGGGAAACCGGAGCUAAUACCGGAUAAUUUCUUUCCUCGCAUGGGGAAAGGUUGA